CCGGCGCACGGGUGAGUAACGCGUGGAAAACCUGCCGUAUACUGGGGGAUAACACUUAGAAAUAGGUGCUAAUACCGCAUAAGCGCACAGCUUCGCAUGAAGCGGUGUGAAAAACUCUGGUGGUAUACGAUGGUUCCGCGUCUGAUUAGCUAGUUGGUGGGGUAAUGGCCUACCAAGGCAACGAUCAGUAGCCGGCCUGAGAGGGUGAACGGCCACAUUGGGACUGAGACACGGCCCAAACUCCUACGGGAGGCAGCAG
rnacentral:rRNA from 1 species